rnacentral:lncRNA from 1 species
CUCCCCGUAAUCCUCAGAUUGUAUCUUUUUUGGAAUUACUAGAUCUUCCUUAUGUUCUUGAUAAUGCAUAGGACUCCAGGGAUACUCCUUCUUCAUUGCCUCAAAAGGGUAAAGAGUUUUCUAUUUACCUUGUCCCACUCAGUUUUGAUGCCUUGUCCCUUUAUACGGUAGUUAAUCUUCAUUGUGAUGCAGUCAAACCUAGAGUAUACAUGAAUCUAGGAAUACCUUUUGCUUGUCGUGUUUAAUAUGGUGCUAAUGCUCUCCAAUAUAGUUUAAUGGGAUAGAUAAUUGAUCAUUUGCUUUCAACCAAGGUAGAACAUUGAAUAUGCCUAAUGUUUUGAGCUUUGUGCAUAUCAUACGUAAUGCUAUAACUUUACCUCGUCCAUGUUGAUCGAACUAAAUCCAUUAAAUUUCUUAAGGUGACAUCGUUUUUCUUGUUGGUUCAUUAGAUGAUUACAGUGAAGACAUUCCCAAUGAAGAUGAGAUUGAUCUAGCAGAUGAUGCAGAACGGAAUAAUUAAAAUCGGUGCUCAUGAAUAUGAAUAAUAUUUUCUAUCAACCAAGAGGUUUAUUAGUGCAAAAAGAUUGAUAGCAAUAUCUUGCUAUACUAUGACGCUUUACUUGUUUGUGAAGUUGGCAACUUGGUUUAAUGGCCCACACUUUUCCAACUUUCAUCAGUAGAGGAGAGCACCUAUACAAGUUUCUUUCUUUCUUUGUAUCUAAAAUAAUGUAUAAACAUCAAAUAUUAUAUCAAUAGCUUUUAUCACAGUCAUUCAUUAUAUGAGCUUGAAUUUGGAAUCUCAAAUUUUUUGGGGCUUUUCUAAUUGAAUUGAUGUUAUUAAUAUGGAUAAAUGACAAUAGCAUGGAGUUUGUAUCUUGCUUCUUGCAAAUUUAGUAAUUUGUUGUAUUCCGACAUCCAGGAACAUCCAAGGCAUGGCACCCUUAAUCAGGCAUGAGCUUUGUUCUUUUUCAAUAAGCAAUUUUCAGACAUGGCCAUUGGUUACAAUCCAUUAGCACAUUUAUAAGAUUAUUAAAUUGUUUAAAGGGAUAUUAGAAGGGUGAACUAGAAAAAUUAUAAAGGAAAUUUUCGCAUUUUAUUCUUAGUUUUAUAGAACUUAAAAGAACCUUUAUUUUUAAGAAAUUGUGAUUUAUAAAUUGAAAUGUAAAUUUUGAUAUCGAAGAAACUAAGAUUAGAAUCAAUGGUGAGAUGUUAAAGCCUCUUAGAAGGCUGUGGAAGAAGAUGAUGAGUCCAAAAGGUUGUUUUAUUAUUUUUGGUGUUCAAUCAAUUGAUUUAGGAUGCUUGCAAUGGAAAUACAUUAGAGUUUUAUAUUUGAGGUGGUAUUAGUUUAUGGAAUAAGCUAGGGAUUAGGUGGGGCUCUUGCUAGAGUUGGCACUGAAGUAUUACAUGAACGAUGUUCAGAAGGUACAACUUUUUGAGUUACAGGUUUACUCUGUGAUUAUUUAUAUUCCUUGGAUUGUGAAUUUUAUUUAGGGGCUUCUUAUUGAUAUUGUGUUCAUUAGAAGUUAUAGAAGACACGUCACUAUUUCAUUUUAUCUAAACAUUUUUACGUUUUCUGCCUCCUCCUUUACUUAUAUUUUAUAGUUUCCCCCAAUUCAUAAAUGCAAUCACAUUGAUAUGCUCGUUUCGACCAUGGUAAUAAGCUGUCAUACUUCCAUUAUUUUUUUGAGUAAAACAGCUUGGUAUAUUAAAUAAAAUAAAAUUAAUAGAACUGAAAUACCUAAAAUUUCAGAUCCAAUAUAGACUUAACUCUAAUCAUCAAUUAAAUAAUAUAUUUCAAUUUAAAAUUUAUAAAUAGUAAAUUUAUAUUAUCCUUUAUAUUUUUAGAUAUAUAUUUUAUUAAAUUUUCUAACAAUAAAAUUAUUUAUGAAUUGCUAGAAAAGUUUAAAAUAGUUAUAUUAAAAAUAUAUAGGUAAUAAAAAACUUAACAUUUCUUAGUUUGAAAUGCCCAAAAACCACCUCAAAUUUUAAAUUUAUCUUUGUUAGUCACUACAUUUAACAUCAUUAAACUACCAGAUUUUAAUUAUAUUUUUUAAUUCUUUAUAUAUUUUAAUAGUAAAUAGUAUUAUCUUAAAAAUAAAUAUAUUUAGACAUUGAGAAUAUAAAAGUGUAUUAAAUGAAAUUUUGAAAAGUAAAUAACUCAAUUAUCACUUUAUUAAAUGAGUGUAUUAAAUAGCAAUAGUUACCGUUGGCAGGAGAAGAUUCCUUCUGCCCGUUUUCAUCAGUCUUUUCAAAUCCCCUUCCUUUCCAUUUCUUUACCAUCUCUUUCUCUUAAAAAUUUUCCUCUCUAAUCCGUUUUCAUCUCUUCCUUCUCAAUCGUUUCUGCUUUUUAUUUUUAAUUUUUUUAUUGUGAUAUUGGAAUCACUUGCUUCAUCCAUAGAUUUUGGGUUUUCAGCCCUAGGAAAUAUUGUUUCGGUUCGUCUUUUCAAAUCUAUGGAUGUCGGUGUGGUUGUUCUUGUUGGAUGCUUUGAAAAAGAAAGAAAUUCUGGUUCUGCAAGAUUUCACCAGUCAUGGCGUCUCUUUUAUAGUCAAUACUUUAUUAUUCAUAUUCUAUGUUACAUUGAUUCUUAUCCCAAAUAGACACGCUAUUCCUUUCAUCGUAUUGCACGGUAAUGUUCUUAUCCCAAUAUCUUUUCUUCUCAAUUUUAGUGUUCUUAUGCACUCUCCCAUAGCUUAAAUUCAUUCUUUUAUAGUUGACACGAGAUAUGUAUUUGUAUCAAGAAAAAGCAGGUUGGGACUGAAUUGAAUAAAAUGAAAAGUACACUAAUUCUGAAAUUGUACUCGGCGUGUGGCGAAAUGACCAGCUUAUUCCCAUAUUUUCUCCUACUUUUCCUUUAUUUCUAACGUUCCUUUCUCCUUUAUUAGCUACUCUUUUGAUUAGUUUUAUGUACGUCCAGUAGGCCCGUUCCCUCCCCUAAAAUUUACGAAACCAAUUACUCUAUUCCUCUAAAUAUUUUAUUUUACCGAUGAAAAUAAAAUACAAAUAUUAUAAUAUUGUUAUGUUAUAAACUCUCUGUUAAAUCAAGAUAGCUUCAUUCUCUCUCUCGAAAAAGGAAAAGAAAAGGUUUGAAUUCAUGAAUCAGCGGUAGCUUCUUCCGAAUGAGUGAGUUGAGGUAGUGCUAGUCUUUCUUUUAAGGUAUAAAUUUGAUUCUUAGAAAAAUCUUGUUUUUUCUUCAUCUCUUUUUAUUCUGUUUGGUUUAUCUGAUCGAGGAAAAUCGAGGGAAAUUUGUAUCAAACUUGACAUUAGUCCUUGUUCUUUUUAAAUAAUUCCUGAUUCACCUGUGAGUUGGCAAAUUCUGUUCAUCCUGCAUUUUCCCGGAAGCCAAACAGGGGACUUAAAUGUUUUUAAUUUCGAAAAUUUUGUUCUCUUACGGAAAUAUUGAAAAAAUACAUGUCUUUCAGUUGGUCCCUUUAUUCUCUCCGAUUUCCCCUUAUUUUUUUCUAACGUCUUUUUUCCUUUACAGGCUGUUAAUUUUCUUUCUUAUUCUGUUCAGGCUUUAUCUCCGUCAUAUUUAGACUCGGAAUAAGCUAUUCCCCGGAUAUCCUGUCUUUUCUUAUUCCGGUUCUCAAUUUUUGGCCUCCGGUUUAUUGGUUUUAGUGGCCGGUUCAGCUAUUUUUUCUUGUCUGGACCGGCCAACCUGACAUGGUUAUUCUGGACAUAUCCCGGUUCUUUGCUAUCCCGUAUUGGUAUAUCCCGACCUAGCUAUAUCCCAUUCUGGGAAUAUCCCGAUUCCCCACUUUUUUUUCCUUAAGUCUCUUUACCUUCUUUGUCUUUAAUUCCUCAAAAAAAAAAAAAAGGCAAUUUAAAGAAGGUAUUGAUUACCAUAAAUGUUACCAUUGUCACAUGGGGAUUUAGAAAAUUAUGUUCUCUCUCUUCCGUUCAUAGCUUCCCCAUUUCUUCACCUAUUCAUCCAGCUCUUUAAAUUUAUUUUCCCUUUUAUUCUCUGUUGUUUUUCCAUUCUUUGAUCUCUGUUAAUCCUCUCUUUCGUUUUCUUUAUUCUCUUUCCCUUCCUUUCUUGUCCUUUCGUAGCAAACCCCGGACACUGCCGCGCCAUCAACACCUUCCGGCGUCUUACCUCCGAUCAAAGGUCAGUUUCCUUCCCAUUAUUCGAAAUUUGAAUCCUCAAAUCUAUCUCUUCUAUCCAUAGCACCCCAUUUAUUCGCUGAGUCCCUCUCUCUCUCUCUUGUCUGUUUUGAAUUUCUUCCUCUCAUUUUUUUCUAGUUUUGGGUGCACAGAAAGACGCUACACUAGGUUUUCUCUGCCGUUUCUGGUUUUUGUGAUUUUUUGAAUUUCUCUGCUUUAUCGGUGACUGAUUUCAGGUAUGAAUCAUCACUUGUACUUUGUCUUUGUCUUUGCCAUUUCAUUUUGUAAAUUCUCUAGUUUUAGUAAAGUCUCUUCUUUCCUUUCCCUUUUAUCUCACUUAAGAUAAUGCUUUAAACUUUUUCACCUGUCUUUCUUUCUAAUGUGACAGUCCGGAUAGCCUACUGGUCUCGUGGAUAAAAAACUGCUUCCUGGGAUAUGUAGUACUCCUCCUGUCCAUAAAUAACUGUUUUUAGUUAGUAUCUUUCUUGCCCUGUGUAUACAUUCAUGGAUUCCUUUCUAUCUCUUUUGCAGGUGCAAAAUCUAUAAUAAAUAGAAGUUGAAACCGCUUAUGGUAUUGGAAUUUUUGAAAACAUUGUCUCAUUUCGUCUCAUUCAUCUCCAUUUUUUUUAAUUUAACAGAUAUUUUCUUUCGGUAUCUGUUCUCCUGUCUUUCCAUCCGUCCAUGGCUCUUUUAUUGUUAAUCCUGCCGUCGCCCUUUUGAUUCUUGUUUUAGUUUCAGAUAUAUGCUUCUUUUUACUUCUAUUUUCAGUGUGUUUUUGUCAUGGUUUUUUGUUUUCACCUUUAGAGGAUAAAGUCAUUAAGAAAAAAAACCUAAGGUUUUAAGUUUUUCUCAAACCCUACCACAGUAUUGUGUCCAAUUCGAAACGAUGAAGAUAGCGGUGGAAGGGUGCAUGCAUGGAGAUCUCGACAAGGUCUACGACACCAUUAAAUACAUCGAAAACACUCGCAACAUCAAAAUUGACCUCCUCCUUUGUUAUGGUGAUUUCCAGGUUCUUUCUCUCACACACUCACUUUCUCCAAUUUGUUGUUUUUAUACGAAAUUUUGUCACUUUCCAAAUACCCAUUUUUUUAUAUUAACUUAAUUAACUUAAUGUGGCCCCAAAAUAUAGGGAGAUGAAGUCAUUCUGGAAAUACUAUUCGGGUCAGGAGGUUGCCCCAGUUCCCACGAUUUUUAUCGGUGGAAAUAAUGAAGCUUCCAAUUAUUUAUGGGAAUUGUAAGUCACCCCCUUUUCUUCAUAUGUUCUAGCUCGGGGACUCUGAUUCUUUUAUGAAAAGGCCUUGAAUUUUACCUUCUGCUAAACUUUAGGUAUUAUGGGGGAUGGGCAGCACCUAAUAUAUACUUCUUGGGGUAUGCUGUGGUUGUGAAGUUUGGCAAUAUCCGUAUCGAUGGACUUUCCGGAAUUUACAAUGCGCGUAAUUAUUGUUUAGGUUGGGUAUGAAGUUCUUUUCUUGUCUAUUCUAUGUUUAUUCUGGAGUUCUUUUAAUGGUGAUUGUAUAUUUACUGCAAGCGAGUGUCAGAUAUGUUAUAUUGAUUCUUAUUUAGGGUGGAGAGUCGAAGCUUUGAAACUGAAAUGAAUUAGCUUUUCCUUGAGCAGGACACCAUGAAAUGCCACCUUAUAAUGACAAUACUAUCAGGUCUGUGUAUCAUGUUCGGGAGUACGAUGUUCACAAGCUCAUGCUCCUAGAGAAACUGAUUGAUAUUUUCCUUUCACACGAUUGGCCGCUCAGCAUCACUGAUUAUGGGAACUGGCAACAACUUGUUUGCUGCAAAAAAACAUUUCAAAGGUGAGGUAAUAAUAUUCAAUUGGUGGAAAUGGACAUAUGUGAUAGAAUGAAAAUCUUCAUAUCAAGCGUCUUCAGUUUUCUUGUUGACCAUUCCUGGUUGCUUGUUGGUUGACACAUAUUUGCUAGAUCCAGCAAGGAACUCUUGGAAUCAAACCUGCUGCUCAGCUGCUCAAAAAACUCAGACCAUCGUAUUGGUUUUCGGCUCACUUGCACUGCAAAUUCACCGCUCUUGUUGAACAUGAAGAGGGUGGUCGAGUGACAAAAUUUCUUGCACUCAAUAAAUGCCUUCCAGGGCGCAAGUUCUUGCAGGUAUCUGUCAUAUGUUCUGACCAUUUCAUUUAGGUUCUUUCUUUUGGUCUUUGCUGGAAGCUAAUAAAUGAAUUCUGGCUUUCUCUGAUCUUUUAGGUUGUUGAUAUUGAUCUGAUCUAGGACCUUAUGAGGUUCAGUACGAUGAAGAAUGGCUGGCAAUAACACGGAAAUUGAACUGUCUUUCCUUUGACCUUCCGAUGUGGAGACAUUGGGUGUGUGUAUAUAUGACAUUUUUGUUUUGACCAUGCCACUCAUCUCACUCUCUCUCUCUCUUGGGUGGGGUGGACUAAUGUUUUAUUUGAAAAUGUGCAAUUUUCUAUUUUUGCAAGGACUGUUACUCAUACAAGAACUUGUGAGCUGACAACUGCUGUUCUAAUAGGUAGGAGAACAAAGCUCGACAUGCAAGAUUGUUGUCAAUGGGUUAAGAGCAGGAUGGAAGACAGAGGAGCCAAACCUUGUGAAUUUUCUCAAACAGCUCCACCUCACAAACCCUUUGAUUCUUACUUUUUCUGGUAAAUAAUAUGGUGAUAUUUUGAUGCUUUUCCUUCUUUGAGCUGCUAAUAGUAUCUCCAUUAAUGGUUCUAUCUUUUGGAUUUAAGAAACUUACCAUAUAUGUUUGCAUAUUUAUACCAUAGGCAUCUCAAUAUUACUGUCACAGUGGUUAUGAAACACUAUCCUUCAUUUUUUAUCUUCUUUUAGCUCAAUUAAUUGUUGGUUAGUGAAUGCGUUCUUUUUUAUUUAGAUUUGCAACUAGAAUAAUCAUGACUUUUGCAAUUUGUUUUUGCUCGAUUUCUUUUUUAAUUAUUAAAAUUUUCUCACCUUUUGUAGGUUCUCCCCGUAAUCCUCAGAUUGUAUCUUUUUUGGAAUUACUAGAUCUUCCUUAUGUUCUUGAUAAUGCAUAGGACUCCAGGGAUACUCCUUCUUCAUUGCCUCAAAAGGGUAAAGAGUUUUCUAUUUACCUUGUCCCACUCAGUUUUGAUGCCUUGUCCCUUUAUACGGUAGUUAAUCUUCAUUGUGAUGCAGUCAAACCUAGAGUAUACAUGAAUCUAGGAAUACCUUUUGCUUGUCGUGUUUAAUAUGGUGCUAAUGCUCUCCAAUAUAGUUUAAUGGGAUAGAUAAUUGAUCAUUUGCUUUCAACCAAGGUAGAACAUUGAAUAUGCCUAAUGUUUUGAGCUUUGUGCAUAUCAUACGUAAUGCUAUAACUUUACCUCGUCCAUGUUGAUCGAACUAAAUCCAUUAAAUUUCUUAAGGUGACAUCGUUUUUCUUGUUGGUUCAUUAGAUGAUUACAGUGAAGACAUUCCCAAUGAAGAUGAGAUUGAUCUAGCAGAUGAUGCAGAACGGAAUAAUUAAAAUCGGUGCUCAUGAAUAUGAAUAAUAUUUUCUAUCAACCAAGAGGUUUAUUAGUGCAAAAAGAUUGAUAGCAAUAUCUUGCUAUACUAUGACGCUUUACUUGUUUGUGAAGUUGGCAACUUGGUUUAAUGGCCCACACUUUUCCAACUUUCAUCAGUAGAGGAGAGCACCUAUACAAGUUUCUUUCUUUCUUUGUAUCUAAAAUAAUGUAUAAACAUCAAAUAUUAUAUCAAUAGCUUUUAUCACAGUCAUUCAUUAUAUGAGCUUGAAUUUGGAAUCUCAAAUUUUUUGGGGCUUUUCUAAUUGAAUUGAUGUUAUUAAUAUGGAUAAAUGACAAUAGCAUGGAGUUUGUAUCUUGCUUCUUGCAAAUUUAGUAAUUUGUUGUAUUCCGACAUCCAGGAACAUCCAAGGCAUGGCACCCUUAAUCAGG